rnacentral:rRNA from 1 species
AUCUACGGUCCAUGCCACCCAUGAACAAGCCCGACCCUGUCUGAUCUCGGAAGCUAAGCAGGAUCGGGCCUGGUUAGUACUUGGGGUGGGAGACCACCUAGGAAGACCCAGGUGCUGUAGGUG